CGGCAGGGAGGGCAUAGGAAGAGGGAGAGAAGAAUCUUGACCAGAGUCUGCUGAGCGUGGAGACCAAUGCAGGGCUUGAGCUCAUGACCAUGAGAUCAUGACCUGAGCUGGAGCCAAGAAUUGGAUCCUAACUGACUGAGCCUUCCAGGCAUCCCCGGGGCCAAAUAAAAAUAGAUGAAACUGACUAUGGCCAUCAAUGUUACAUCAAACUGCAGGGCAUGGGGAAAAGGGUUAAAGAACAAUAACAAAGUCCCUGCCCUCAAGAGAAAUUUGACCCCCAGUUAACAGGAAGACAGCCAUCUGCAAAUCAGAAAGAGAGACCUAGACCUCACCAGAACCUAACCAUGCUGACACUCUUGGACUUCCCAGCCUCCAAAACUGUGAGAAAUACACGUUUGUGGUUUAAGUCACCCAGUGUAUGGUAUUUUUGUUAUAACAGCCCACAGUGACUAAGACAUCUUCUAAUACAGAAGCUUU